rnacentral:rRNA from 1 species
CCUACGGGUGGCUGCAGUGGGGAAUAUUGGACAAUGGGGGAAACCCUGAUCCAGCAAUGCCGCGUGUGUGAAGAAGGCCUUCGGGUUGUAAAGCACUUUCAGUGGGGAGGAAGGGGUUAAUGUUAAUACCAUUAAUCAUUGACGUUACCUACAGAAGAAGCACCGGCUAACUCUGUGCCAGCAGCCGCGGUAAUACAGAGGGUGCGAGCGUUAAUCGGAAUUACUGGGCGUAAAGCGUGUGUAGGUGGUUGUAUAAGUUAGAUGUGAAAGCCCCG